AGGACGAACGCUGGCGGCGUGCUUAACACAUGCAAGUCGAACGGAAAGGCCCUGCUUUUGGGGGUGCUCGAGUGGCGAACGGGUGAGUAACACGUGAGUAACCUGCCCUUGACUUUGGGAUAACUUCAGGAAACUGGGGCUAAUACCGGAUAGGAGCUCCUGCUGCAUGGUGGGGGUUGGAAAGUUUCGGCGGUUGGGGAUGGACUCGCGGCUUAUCAGCUUGUUGGUGGGGUAGUGGCUUACCAAGGCUUUGACGGGUAGCCGGCCUGAGAGGGUGACCGGCCACAUUGGGACUGAGAUACGGCCCAGACUCCUACGGGAGGCAGCAGUGGGGAAUAUUGCACAAUGGGCGGAAGCCUGAUGCGGCAACGCCGCGUGCGGGAUGACGGCCUUCGGGUUGUAAACCGCUUUCGCCUGUGACGAAGCGUGAGUGACGGUAAUGGGUAAAGAAGCACCGGCUAACUACGUGCCAGCAGCCGCGGUGAUACGUAGGGUGCGAGCGUUGUCCGGAUUUAUUGGGCGUAAAGGGCUCGUAGGUGGUUGAUCGCGUCGGAAGUGUAAUCUUGGGGCUUAACCCUGAGCGUGCUUUCGAUACGGGUUGACUUGAGGAAGGUAGGGGAGAAUGGAAUUCCUGGUGGAGCGGUGGAAUGCGCAGAUAUCAGGAGGAACACCAGUGGCGAAGGCGGUUCUCUGGGCCUUUCCUGACGCUGAGGAGCGAAAGCGUGGGGAGCGAACAGGCUUAGAUACCCUGGUAGUCCACGCUGUAAACGGUGGGUACUAGGUGUGGGGUCCAUUCCAGGGUUCCGUGCCGUAGCUAACGCUUUAAGUACCCCGCCUGGGGAGUACGGCCGCAAGGCUAAAACUCAAAGGAAUUGACGGGGCCCCGCACAAGCGGCGGAGCAUGCGGAUUAAUUCGAUGCAACGCGUAGAACCUUACCUGGGUUUGACAUGGAUCGGGAGUGCUCAGAGAUGGGUGUGCCUCUUUUGGGGUCGGUUCACAGGUGGUGCAUGGCUGUCGUCAGCUCGUGUCGUGAGAUGUUGGGUUAAGUCCCGCAACGAGCGCAACCCUUGUUCACUGUUGCCAGCACGUUAUGGUGGGGACUCAGUGGAGACCGCCGGGGUCAACUCGGAGGAAGGUGGGGAUGACGUCAAGUCAUCAUGCCCCUUAUGUCCAGGGCUUCACGCAUGCUACAAUGGCUGGUACAGAGAGUGGCGAGCCUGUGAGGGUGAGCGAAUCUCGGAAAGCCGGUCUCAGUUCGGAUUGGGGUCUGCAACUCGACCUCAUGAAGUCGGAGUCGCUAGUAAUCGCGAUCAGCAACGCUGCGGUGAAUACGUUCCCGGGGCUUGUACACACCGCCCGUCAAGUCAUGAAAGUUGGUAACACCCGAAGCCGGUGGCCUAACCGUUGUGGGGGAGCCGUCGAAGGUGGGACUGGUGAUUAGGACUAAGUCGUAACAAGGU
rnacentral:rRNA from 1 species